UUUGCGUUUCUGUUUAUCCCGGUAAUACAAAUGUGCUCGCUGUUGGUGGUUCCAUCGCGGCGCCACAUGUUUUAAAACCAGCAGCGUGCUUUGGGCAGCUGUGAGUGGAAAUCAGGGAGCAUUUGUGGUAGAGCCAUAUCGAUAUGAUAUGGCUCUACCACGUAAAUGGUGGACGAGCUCAUAUGCUCGUGACCAUGGGGUCUGGCAUCUUUAAUGCCUUUGCGUUUUAAGUCAGGUUACAUGUCUUCCUUGACAGUACCGUUUUAUUUCACGUUUUCCUCUUCAAUGUGUCCAGAGUGUUCCACUGUAGUUGCCUUCACAUGUGCUUUCUUCUCUUCUAAGCAGUUUGUUCCAAUUUAGAAUGUACACCGACUGCUUUUAGUCUUACUCCAGUAAAUAAAUAUUUACUAGAAUGAUCUAAUCAAAACUGGAGGAGGGUGACCAAUUGUAAACUUUUCCUUUUUAGCGAGUGAUCUCACUGGGACCAGCUCCUCGGAGCAAGCCUCAUCGACAUCAUCUGGGCAAAGCCUGACCAGACUGGACGGUGCCCUGGAGGCGCCUUCAGGUUCCAUUGAGGAACUCCCGGCAGGAGCUGGGAUGACGUUGGGGGCCUCAAAUUGUCCAGAGCAGUCUCCAAUAGUU